rnacentral:rRNA from 1 species
CAUGUCUCAGUACAAGCCACAUUAAGGUGAAACCGCGAAAGGCUCAUUAAAUCAGUUAUGGUUCCUUAGAUCGUACCCACAUUUACUUGGAUAACUGUGGUAAUUCUAGAGCUAAUACAUGCUUACAGAGUUCCGACCGGAGACGGGAGGAAUGCUUUUAUUAGAUCAAAACCAAUCGGCGGCGUGGGCGUUCGCGCGCUCACGUUCGCCGCUCAACCUGGUGAAUCUGAAUAACUUUCUGCUGAUCGCACGGUCUAGCACCGGCGACGCAUCUUUCAAAUGUCUGCCUUAUCAACUUACGAUGGUAGGUUCUGCGCCUACCAUGGUCAUAACGGGUAACGGGGAAUCAGGGUUCGAUUCCGGAGAGGGAGCCUGAGAAACGGCUACCACAUCCAAGGAAGGCAGCAGGCGCGCAAAUUACCCACUCCCGGCACGGGGAGGUAGUGACGAAAAAUAACGAUACGGGA